UUGAUCUCAAAUCAGGUAGGACUACCCGCUGAACUUAAGCAUAUCAAUAAGCGGAGGAAAAGAAACUAACAAGGAUUCCCCUAGUAACUGCGAGUGAAGCGGGAAGAGCUCAAAUUUAAAAUCUGGCGUGCCUCUGGUCGCUCGAGUUGUAGUCUGGAGAAGUGUUUUCCGUGUUGGACCGUGUAUAAGUCCCUUGGAACAGGGCGUCAUAGAGGGUGAGAAUCCCGUCUUUGACACGGACUACCCAUGCUUUGUGAUUCGCUCUCAAAGAGUCGAGUUGUUUGGGAAUGCAGCUCAAAAUGGGGUGGUAAAUUCCAUCUUAAGCUAAUUAUAGGCGAGAGACCGAUAGCGAACCAGUACCGUGAGGGAAAGAUGAAAA
rnacentral:rRNA from 1 species